UACGUAGGGCGCGAGCGUUGUCCGGAAUUAUUGGGCGUAAAGAGCUCGUAGGCGGCUGGUUGCGUCUGCUGUGAAAUCCCGGGGCUUAACCCCGGGCGUGCAGUGGAUACGGGCCGGCUGGAGGCAGGCAGGGGAGAAUGGAAUUCCCGGUGUAGCGGUGAAAUGCGCAGAUAUCAGGAGGAACACCGAUGGCGAAGGCAGGUCUCUGGGCCAUAACUGACGCUGAGAAGCGAAAGCAUGGGGAGCGAACAGG
rnacentral:rRNA from 1 species